UGGGGAAUAUUGCACAAUGGGCGCAAGCCUGAUGCAGCCAUGCCGCGUGUGUGAAGAAGGCCUUCGGGUUGUAAAGCACUUUCAGCGGGGAGGAAGGCGAUAAGGUUAAUAACCUUGUCGAUUGACGUUACCCGCAGAAGAAGCACCGGCUAACUCCGUGCCAGCAGCCGCGGUAAUACGGAGGGUGCAAGCGUUAAUCGGAAUUACUGGGCGUAAAGCGCACGCAGGCGGUCUGUCAAGUCGGAUGUGAAAUCCCCGGGCUCAACCUGGGAAAUGCAUUCGAAACUGGCAGGCUAGAGUCUUGUAGAGGGGGGUAGAAUUCCAGGUGUAGCGGUGAAAUGCGUAGAGAUCUGGAGGAAUACCGGUGGCGAAGGCGGCCCCCUGGACAAAGGCUGACGAUCAGGUGCGAAAGCGUGGGGAGCAAACAGG
rnacentral:rRNA from 1 species